rnacentral:rRNA from 1 species
AUUGAACGCUGGCGGCAGGCCUAACACAUGCAAGUCGAACGAGUGGCGGACGGGUGAGUAAUGUCUGGGAAACUGCCUGAUGGAGGGGGAUAACUACUGGAAACGGUAGCUAAUACCGCAUACCAUCAGAUGUGCCCAGAUGGGAUUAGCUAGUUGGUGGGGUAACGGCUCACCAAGGCGACGACCCCUAGCUGGUCUGAGAGGAUGACCGGCAACACUGGAACUGGAACACGGUCCAGACUCCUAGGGGAGGAGGCAGUGGGAAAUAUGGCACAAGGGGGGAAAGCCUGAUGCAGCCAUGCCGGGUGUAUGAAGAAGGCCUUCGGGUUGUAAAGUACUUUCGGCGGGAAGACGUUACCCGCAGAAGAGGCACCGGCUAACUCCGUGCCAGCAGCCGCGGUAAUA